rnacentral:misc_RNA from 1 species
GUGGGAGGGGGCUUGCCCCCGAUAGCGGUGGGUCAGCCAGGUCAAUGGUGACUGGCACUCCGCAAUCGGGGGCAAGCCCCCUCCCAC